rnacentral:rRNA from 1 species
UGGGGAAUGUUGGACAAUGGGCGCAAGCCUGAUCCAGCAAUGCCGCGUGAGUGAUGAAGGCCUUCGGGUUGUAAAGCUCUUUCGCCCGCGACGAUGAUGACGGUAGCGGGAGAAGAAGCCCCGGCUAACUUCGUGCCAGCAGCCGCGGUAAUACGAAGGGGGCGAGCGUUGUUCGGAUUUACUGGGCGUAAAGGGCGCGUAGGCGGCGGACCAAGUCGAGUGUGAAAGCCCCGGGCUCAACCUGGGAGGUGCGCUCGAGACGGGCCCGCUGGAGUUCGGGAGAGGAGCGUGGAAUUCCCAGUGUAGAGGUGAAAUUCGUAGAUAUUGGGAAGAACACCGGUGGCGAAGGCGGCGCUCUGGACCGAGACUGACGCUGAGGCGCGAAAGCGUGGGGAGCAAACAGGAUUAGAUACCCUGGUAGUCCACGCGGUAAACGAUGUGUGCUAGACGUUGGGGAGCCCAGCUCCUCGGUGUCGCAGCUAACGCUUUAAGCGCACCGCCUGGGGAGUACGGCCGCAAGG